rnacentral:rRNA from 1 species
CCUACGGGAGGCAGCAGUGGGGAAUCUUGCGCAAUGGGCGAAAGCCUGACGCAGCAACGCCGCGUGCGGGAAGAAGGCUUUCGGGCUGUAAACCGCUUUCAGCAGGAACGAAAAUGACGGUACCUGCAGAAGAAGGAGCGGCCAACUAUGUGCCAGCAGCCGCGGUAAU